AACGAACGCUGGCGGCAUGCCUAACACAUGCAAGUCGAACGAUUGCCUUCGGGUGAUAGUGGCGAACGGGUGCGUAACGCGUGGGAAUCUGCCCUUAGGUUCGGAAUAACAGCUGGAAACGGCUGCUAAUACCGGAUGAUAUCGCGAGAUCAAAGAUUUAUCGCCUGAGGAUGAGCCCGCGUUGGAUUAGGUAGUUGGUGGGGUAAAGGCCUACCAAGCCGACGAUCCAUAGCUGGUCUGAGAGGAUGAUCAGCCACUGGGACUGAGACACGGCCCAGACUCCUACGGAAGGCAGCAGUGGGGAAUAUUGGACAAUGGGCGCAAGCCUGAUCCAGCAAUGCCGCGUGAGUGAUGAAGUCCCUAGGGUUGUAAAGCUCUUUUACCCGGGAAGAUAAUGACUGUACCGGGAGAAUAAGCCCCGGCUAACUCCGUG
rnacentral:rRNA from 1 species